rnacentral:rRNA from 1 species
UACGUAGGGUGCAGGCGUUUAAUCGGAAUUACUGGGCGUAAAGCGUGCGCAGGCGGUUUCCUAAGUCAGAUGUGAAAUCCCCGGGCUUAACCUGGGAAUGGCAUUGGUGACUGCAUAGCUAGAGUACGGUAGAGGGGGAUGGAAUUCCGCGUGUAGCAGUGAAAUGCGUAGAUAUGCGGAGGAACACCGAUGGCGAAGGCAAUCCCCUGGACCUGUACUGACGCUCAUGCACGAAAGGCGUGGGGAGCAAACGAGG